UACGGGGGGGAGCAAGCGUUGUUCGGAUUUACUGGGCGUAAAGGGUGUGUAGGCGGCGCCGUAAGUCGGGUGUGAAAUUCGUGACUUAACUUCGAAACUGCAUUCGAUACUGCCGUGCUUGAGGACUGGAGAGGAGACUGGAAUUUACGGUGUAGCGGUGAAAUGCGUAGAUAUCGUAAGGAAGACCAGUGGCGAAGGCGGGUCUCUGGACAGUUCCUGACGCUGAGGAGCGAAAGUGUGGGGAGCGAACAGG
rnacentral:rRNA from 1 species